rnacentral:misc_RNA from 1 species
AAACUUCCUCCGUGCACUCUUCCUUCGGAAACUGAUGAUGAGCUUCCACCUACUGCCAUGCUUGCUUGAUUGAAUCCAAAAUAGUUCCAACCGGUAGAUGUCAAAACAUUACUACCUGUGUUCAUGAUAUCAAUCUCCUUCAUCUUCCCAGGAUUUAGGGGUGUUGAAUCCAAGGUCGAAGCCCCUAAAGUAUCACCACCACCAUGAACGCGUUUGUCUUGCUCCAGGGCACCAUGAGAUUCAACAAGUCCACUCUUCCCUUUUGCAAAUGAGUCACAAGUACUAUCAUUUUGGCUGAAUCCGGAAUCAGGUUGACCCCAAGAACAUCUUUUUCCGCUGCCAUGCGCCUUGCAGAAAUCAGUGCUUCCCUGA